AUGGUGACUCUCCACUCUUUUUCCAUCCCAGGGCCUCAGCAGACGCCCCCAGACCAGGGGCCAGACUGAGGUGGCAGAAAACAGAUCUGUGGGCCAAAGGGACCCAGCGCCCUGCCCACAACAGCGCAGCCUGAAAAGAUCAAAGGACUGGCUGUGCCCUGACCAGCAGCACCUUGCGCUCCAUGUAAUACUUGUCGCCCCAGCCUCUGACAUUCUUCUGGUGGCCUGUGUGCCUAUGUACUGGGCCAGUGCAUGUGCCAUGUGUGUACGUGUGUGGGACAGCAGUGUGUAUACAUGUGUACGUGUGCCUGUGAGCCUGUGCUGGGGGCUUUCAUGUGCAUGCACAGGUGUGGGGUUGUGUCCCCAACCAUCAUUUGCUGCCCCUCAUUUUGACCCCACUUUCCUUCCCUCCCACACAGAUCCAUCCUGAGCCACUGAGGCACCGGGAUGAGCUGCCCAGGCUGCCUGUGCUGGGAGUGGUAGGUCCCUACACUGGCCGUGCCUGGGGCCAGGCUGCCAGGUUGGGUCUGUACCAGGCUCCUUGCCUACGGGGCAAGCUGGGGCUGCCAGGUUGGGUCUGUACCAGGCUACUUGCCCUACGGGGCUGUGGGGCAUGAGGGGCUGGGAUCCUUGGUGCCCAUGGGAGGGCACUGCUGGCAUGGUGACUGUCCCCUCUCCUUCUAUCCUAGGGCCUCAGUGGAAGCCCCCAGAGCUAUCAGGAGGGUAAAGGAAAGAAAUCAGCGGGCCAGCAAGACCCAGCACCCUGCCCACGCCAGCAGGGCCUGGGAAAACCAAAGAACUGGCCACGUUCUGGCCUGUAGCCCCUUGCGCCCAAUGUAAUACUUGCUGCCCCAGUCCAUGACACCCUUUUGGUGGCCCCUGGGCACCAAAGGGUGUACUGGGGCAGCGCGUGUUGUGUGUGUGUGUGUGUGGGAAAGAGCAGUACAUGUACGUGGGUACAUGUGCCUGUGAACACAUGCUUGUGGCUGCUGUGUGUGUGCAUGCAUGUGGGGCAGUGUCCCCUGUUCUGACUCCCAUGUCCUUGCCCCUAACAGGGUCUCAUCCCUGAUAUGCCAGGCCCAAAAGUGACCCCAAAUAUGUUCAUCUGCGGAAAGAGCUUGUCAUGAAAGCCUGCAUAGCCUACAGGGGACCAUGGACGUAACCUAGCCACACCAUGGUUACACAGUGAAACUUUUGCUGGGCUCUCUGCUCCCUGGCCUGGGGCACCUCCACUACCAGCAUCAGGACUUCCCUUGGAAGACAUCCUUUCCCAGAGAGGACAGCCGCACGCCUAUUCCAUGCUGAACCAUCGAGUGCUGAAGUGUCUGCCCCCCACCAUAUGUCAUUAUAACACUGCACCCCAGGUUGCUACGAAUGGAGGAACAAAAUAGAAAAUAAAAAAUGAAGUCAUGCAUAAA